rnacentral:rRNA from 1 species
UACGGAGGGUGCGAGCGUUGUCCGGAAUCACUGGGCGUAAAGGGCGCGUAGGCGGCGGCGCAAGCGUGUGGUGAAAGCCCGGGGCUCAACUCCGGGUCGGCCAUGCGAACUGCGCGGCUUGAGCACUGUAGAGGCAGGUGGAAUUCCGGGUGUAGCGGUGGAAUGCGUAGAGAUCCGGAAGAACACCGGUGGCGAAGGCGGCCUGCUGGGCAGUGGCUGACGCUGAUGCGCGACAGCGUGGGGAGCAAACAGG